rnacentral:lncRNA from 1 species
AUGGAAAAAGCAAGAGAAUUCCAGAAAAACAUCUAUUUCUGCUUUAUUGACUAUGCCAAAGCCUUUGACUGUGUGGAUCACAAUCACCUGUGGAAAAUUCUGAAAGAGAUGGGCAUACCAGACCACCCAAUCUGCCUCUUGAGAAAUCUGUAUGCAGGUCAGGAAGCAACAGUUAGAACUGGACAUGGAACAAUAGACUGGUUCCAAAUAGGAAAAGGAGUACAUCAAGGCUGUAUACUGUCACCCUGCUUAUUUAACUUCUAUGCAGAGGACAUCAUGAGAAACGCUGGACUGGAAGAAACACAAGCUGGAAUCAAGAUUGCUGGGAGAAAUAUCAGUAACCUCAGAUAUGCAGAUGACACCACCCUUAUGGCAGAAAGUGAAGAGGAACUAAAAAGCCUCUUGAUGAAAGUGAAAGAGGAGAGUAAAAAAGUUGGCUUAAAGCUCAACAUUCAGAAAAUGAAGAUCAUGGUAUCUGGUCCCAUCACUUCAUGGGAAAUAGAUGGAGAAACAGUGGAAACAGUGUCAGACUUUAUUUGUUUGGGCUCCAAAAUCACUGCAGAUGGUGACUGCAGCCAUGAAAUUAAAAGACGCUUAGUCCUUGGGAGAAAAGCUAUGACCAACCUAGAUAGUAUAUUCAAAAGCAGAGACAUUACUUUGCCAACUAAGGUCUGUCUAGUCAAGGCCAUGGUUUUUCCAGUGGUCAUGUAUGGAUGUGAGAGUUGGACUGUGAAGAAGGCUGAGCGCCAAAGAAUUGAUGCAUUUGAAGUGUGGUGUUGGAGAAGACUCUUGAGAGUCCCUUGGACUGCAAGGAGAUCCAACCAGUCCAUUCUGAAGGAGAUCAACCCUGGGAUUUCUUUGGAAGGAAUGAUGCUGAAGCUGAAGCUCCAGUACUUUGGCUACCUCAUGCGAAGAGUUGACUCAUUUGGAAAAGACUGUGAUGCUAGGAGAGACUGGGGGCAGGAGAAGGGGACAACCCAGGAUGAGAUGGCUGGAUGGCAUCACGGACUCGAUGGACGUGAGUCUGAGUGA